rnacentral:rRNA from 1 species
AGUGAACGCUGGCGGUAGGCCUAACACAUGCAAGUCGAACGGCAGCACAGUAAGAGCUUGCUCUUACGGGUGGCGAGUGGCGGACGGGUGAGGAAUACAUCGGAAUCUACUUUUUCGUGGGGGAUAACGUAGGGAAACUUACGCUAAUACCGCAUACGACCUACGGGUGAAAGCAGGGGAUCUUUGGACCUUGCGCGAUUGAAUGAGCCGAUGUCGGAUUAGCUAGUUGGCGGGGUAAAGGCACACCAAGGCGACGAUCCGUAGCUGGUCUGAGAGGAUGAUCAGCCACACUGGAACUGAGACACGGUCCAGACUCCUACGGGAGGCAACGGUGGGGAAUAUUGGACAAUGGACGCAAGCCUAAUCCAGCCAUACCGGGUAGGUGAAGAAGGCCUUCGGGUUGUAAAGCCCUUUUGUUGGGAAAGAAAAGCAGCAGGUUAAUACCCCGCUGUUCUGACGGUACCCAAAGAAUAAGCGCCGGCUAACUUCGUG